rnacentral:rRNA from 1 species
GACGAACGCUGGCGGCGUGCUUAACACAUGCAAGUCGAACGGAAAGGCCCUGCUUUUGUGGGGUGCUCGAGUGGCGAACGGGUGUGUAACACGUGAGUAACCUGCCCUUGACUUUGGGAUAACUUCAGGAAACUGGGGCUAAUACCGGAUAGGAGCUCCUGCUGCAUGGUGGGGGUUGGAAAGUUUCGGCGGUUGGGGAUGGACUCGCGGCUUAUCAGCUUGUUGGGGGGGGAGUGGCUUACCAAGGCUUUGACGGGUAGCCGGCCUGGGAGGGUGACCGGCCAAAUUGGGACUGGGAUCCGGCCCAGACUCCUACGGGAGGCAGAGGUGGGGAAUAUUGCACAAUGGGCGGAAGCCUGAUGCAGCAACGCCGCGUGCGGGAUGACGGCCUUCGGGUUGUAAACCGCUUUCGCAUGUGCCGAAGCGUGAGUGACGGUAAUGGGUAAAGAAGCACCGGCUAACUACGUG